CGCCAGACUCCUACGGGAGGCAGCAGUGGGGAAUAUUGCACAAUGGGGGAAACCCUGAUGCAGCGACGCCGCGUGAGCGAUGAAGUAUUUCGGUAUGUAAAGCUCUAUCAGCAGGGAAGAAGCUGACGGUACCUGACUAAGAAGCCCCGGCUAACUACGUGCCAGCAGCCGCGGUAAUACGUAGGGGGCAAGCGUUAUCCGGAUUUACUGGGUGUAAAGGGAGCGUAGACGGCGAUGCAAGCCAGAUGUGAAAGCCCGGGGCUCAACCCCGGGACUGCAUUUGGAACUGUGUGGCUGGAGUGUCGGAGAGGCAGGCGGAAUUCCUAGUGUAGCGGUGAAAUGCGUAGAUAUUAGGAGGAACACCAGUGGCGAAGGCGGCCUGCUGGACGAUGACUGACGUUGAGGCUCGAAAGCGUGGGGAGCAAACAGGAUUAGAUACCCUCGUAC
rnacentral:rRNA from 1 species